AUUGAACGCUGGCGGCAGGCCUAACACAUGCAAGUCGAACGAGUGGCGGACGGGUGAGUAAUGUCUGGGAAACUGCCUGAUGGAGGGGGAUAACUACUGGAAACGGUAGCUAAUACCGCAUACCAUCGGAUGUGCCCAGAGGGGAUUAGCUAGUAGGGGGGGUAAAGGCUCACCUAGGCGACGCUCCCUAGCUGGUCUGAGAGGCUGACCAGCCAAACUGGAACGGAGACACGGUCCAGACGCCUACGGGAGGCAGAAGUGGGGAAUAUUGCACAAGUGGCGCAAGCCUGAGGCAGCAAUGCCGCGUGUAUGAAGAAGGCCUUCGGGUUGUAAAGUACGUUCAGCGGGGAGGCGUUACCCGCAGAAGAAGCACCGGCGAACUCCGUGACAGCAGCCGCGGUAAUUC
rnacentral:rRNA from 1 species